rnacentral:rRNA from 1 species
CGGCAACAGCUCAAAUUUGAAAUCUGGUCCUUCCAGGGCCCGAGUUGUAAUUUGCAGAGGGUGCUUUGGCGUCGGCAUUGGCCUAAGUUCCUUGGAACAGGGCGUCGCAGAGGGUGAGAACCCCGUAUGUGGCCCAUUGCCUUCGCCGUGUAAAGCCCCUUCGAC